rnacentral:misc_RNA from 1 species
GAUGAAGAACGUAGCGAAAUGCGAUAAGUAGUGUGAAUUGCAGAAUUCAGUGAAUCAUCGAAUCUUUGAACGCACAUUGCGCCCCUUGGUAUUCCAUGGGGCAUGCCUGUUCGAGCGUCAUUUGUAUCUUCAAGCUUUGCUUGGUGUUGGGUGUUUGUCUCGCCUUUGCGUGUAGACUCGCCUUAAAAUAAUUGGCAGCCGGCGUAUUGAUUUCGGAGCGCAGUACAUCUCGCGCUUUGCACUCAUAACGACAGCGUCCAAAAGUACAUUUUACACUCUUGACCUCGGAUCAGGUAGGGAUACCCGCUGAACUUAAGCAUAUCAAAGCGGAGGA